GAGGAAUAUUGGUCAAUGGACGUAAGUCUGAACCAGCCAAGUAGCGUGCAGGAUGACGGCCCUAUGGGUUGUAAACUGCUUUUGUAUGGGGAUAAAGUCAAUCACGUGUGAUUGUUUGCAGGUACCAUACGAAUAAGGACCGGCUAAUUCCGUGCCAGCAGCCGCGGUAAUACGGAAGGUCCGGGCGUUAUCCGGAUUUAUUGGGUUUAAAGGGAGCGUAGGCUGGAGAUUAAGUGUGUUGUGAAAUGUAGACGCUCAACGUCUGACUUGCAGCGCAUACUGGUUUCCUUGAGUACGCACAACGUUGGCGGAAUUCGUCGUGUAGCGGUGAAAUGCUUAGAUAUGACGAAGAACUCCGAUUGCGAAGGCAGCUGACGGGAGCGCAACUGACGCUGAAGCUCGAAGGUGCGGGUAUCGAACAGGAUUAGAUACCCUGGUAGUCCGCACAGUAAACGAUGGAUGCCCGCUGUUGGUACUUGGUAUCAGCGGCUAAGCGAAAGCAUUAAGCAUCCCACCUGGGGAGUACGCCGGCAACGGUG
rnacentral:rRNA from 1 species